rnacentral:rRNA from 1 species
GACGGAGGAUGCAAGUGUUAUCCGGAAUCACUGGGCGUAAAGCGUCUGUAGGUGGUUCGAAAAGUCCACUGUUAAAGAUUGAGGCUUAACUUCAAAAAUGCCGUGGAAACUUUCAAACUAGAGUAUGGUAGGGGUAGAGGGAAUUUCCAGUGGAGCGGUGAAAUGCGUAGAUAUUGGAAAGACCACCGAUGGCGAAGGACACUCUACUGGGCCAUUACUGACACUGAGAGACGAAAGCUAGGGGAGCAAAUGGG